AGCUCCAAUAGUGUAUAUUAGUGUUGUUGCAGUUGAAGCGCUCGUAGUUGGAUUUUGGAAUGGUUUGACCGGUCUUACCGUCAAGGUUUGUACUGGUUGAAGUGUUCUUUUUUCUGAAGAACUGUCAUGCCCUUCACCGGGUGUGGCAGGGAUCCAGAACUUUUACUUUGAAAAAAUUAGAGUGUUCAAAGCAGGCUUAGCUUGAAUACAUUAGCAUGGAAUAAUAAAAUAGGACUUACAGUUCUAUUUUGUUGGUUUCUAGAACUGAAGUAAUGAUUAAUAGGGAUAGUUGGGGGCAUUAGUAUUUAAUUGUCAGAGGUGAAAUUCUUGGAUUUAUGAAAGACUAACUUCUGCGAAAGCAUUUGCCAAGGAUGUUUUCAUUAAUCAAGAACGAAAGUAG
rnacentral:rRNA from 1 species